rnacentral:rRNA from 1 species
AGGGUUUGAUUCCGGAGAGGGAGCUCGAGAAACGGCUACCACUUCCAAGGAAGGCAGCAGGCGCGCAAAUUACCCAAUGGCAAAACGCCGAGGUAGUGACAACAAAUAAGUAUGCAGGGUACUACGUACUUUGCAAUACGAAUGAGUACAAUCUAAACCCCUUAAUGAAAGCCACUGGAGGGCAAGUCUGGUGCCAGCAGCCGCGGUAAUUCCAGCUCCAGUAGCGUAUAUUAAAGCUGUUGCGGCUAAAAAGCUCGUAGUCGGAUUUCAAGAUUUGGAGUGGCCGGUCCGCGCGACCGCGUGAGCACUGGCUGCCUGAUCUAUCCACCAUCUGAAAGCUCGCCUCUGCUCUUCAUUGAGUGGGGGUUAACGGCUGGGGCGACCUGGCAUGAGUUUCAGAACGAUUACUUUGAAAAAAUUAGAGUGUUCAAAGCAGGCGAAUACGCCUUGAAUACAUUAGCAUGGGAUAAUACCAUGGACUCUGAGCCCAUUUCGUUGGUUUCUGAGCACGGAGUCACGAUCAACAGGGACAGUUGGGGUGAUUCAUAUUCUGGCGACAGGGGUGAAAUCCUAUGACCGGCGGAAGAUGAACUAGUGCGAAAGCAUUUCACAAGGAUGUUUUUCAUUGAUCAAGAACGAAAGUUGAGGGAUCGAAGGCGAUCAGAUACCGCCCUAGUCUCAACCAUAAACCAUGCCGACCAGGGAUUAGGAGACGUUUCAAUUUGAAUAGACUUUCCUAGCACCUUGUGAGAAAUCACAAGUUUUUUGGGCUUCGGGGGGAGUAUGGUCGCAAGGCUGAAACUUAAAGGAAUUGACGGAAGGGCACCACCAGGAGUGGAGCCUGCGGCUUAAUUCGACCCAACACGGGAAAACUCACCAGGUCCAGACAAUGGAAGGAUGUACAGACUUGAAGAUCUUUAUAGAUUCGUUGGGUGGUGGUGCAUGGCCGUUCUUGGUUCGUGUGAUGACUUGUCUGGUUAAUUCCGAUAACGAGCGAGACCUCAACCUGCUAAAUAGUUUUGGUUAGGGUACUAUCUUCUGAUGGUCUCCUAGCUUAUUGAAACUUCUUAGAGGGACUUUUGACGAAAAGUCAAAGGAAGUUUGAGGCAAAAACAGGUCUGUGAUGCCCUUCGAUGUCCUGGGCUGCACGCGCGCUACACUGAUGAAGUCAUCGAGUAUUCUAUUGACCUUUGCCGAAGGGCAUGGGUAAUCUCUCAAACUUCAUCGUGAUGGGGCUUGAUCAUUGCAAUUAUUGAUCAUCAACGAGGAAUUCCUAGUAAAUGCGACUCAUCAGGUCGCGUUGAUUACGUUACUGCUCUUUGUACACACCGCCCGUCGCUCCUGCCGAUCGGGUAAUAAGGUGAACAUUCCGGACGCCACUUUAAUACAGAGGACUCGGGCAACUGAGUCUUUUGUUGGAGAGACGGAAGUUAUGUAAACCUUAUUAUUUAGAGGAAGGAGAAGUCGUAACAAGGUU